rnacentral:hammerhead_ribozyme from 1 species
AUCUAGUUGAUGAAUCCCAGACAAGACGGAAUGCGCAUCCUUGAU